rnacentral:rRNA from 1 species
GAUGAACGCUGGCGGCGUGCCUAAUACAUGCAAGUCGAGCGAACAGACGAGGAGCUUGCUCCUCUGACGUUAGCGGCGGACGGGUGAGUAACACGUGGAUAACCUACCUAUAAGACUGGGAUAACUUCGGGAAACCGGAGCUAAUACCGGAUAAUAUAUUUAACCGCAUGGUUCAAUAGUGAAAGACGGUUUUGCUGUCACUUAUAGAUGGAUCCGCGCCGCAUUAGCUAGUUGGUAAGGUAACGGCUUACCAAGGCAAGGAUGCGUAGCCGACCUGAGAGGGUGAUCGGCCACACGGGAACUGAGACACGGUCCAGACUCCUACGGGAGGCAGCAGUAGGGAAUCUUCCGCAAUGGGCGAAAGCCUGACGGAGCAACGCCGCGUGAGUGAUGAAGGUCUUCGGAUCGUAAAACUCUGUUAUUAGGGAAGAACAAAUGUGUAAGUAACUAUGCACGUCUUGACGGUACCUAAUCAGAAAGCCACGGCUAACUACGUG